GUACUUCAAUUUAAGAAGCUCUAGUGAUGCUCAAAUGGGAAACAAGUUUGUGGAUUUCUUUCAGGUCAUAAGGGAGCUUGUUCUGGCUUCCAGCUGCAAGACAACUGGAGAAAUUCACUGCCGUGUUACAAGUUCUGAAAAAGAAAAUGUUAUGCCUAGUUUUCUGCCACUGUUAGAUGAAAAUUCCUGAGUAGCGUUUUUAAAACAUUCCUUUGAAGGUGUUAGGACUGGCCACAACUGGAUUAGAGUUAGCAGAUCAGUGGUGUGAUCUGCAUACAAGUACUACAUUCUUUAACAUGUCUGUGUAUAUUUUAUCCUGUGAUAAUAUAAAUAGCAGGUAUUUGAUAUUGAAUAUCAAAUAUUCAAUUGAAUGAAAGUAUCUUUGUCUGGUUCUGGAAUAACGAUGUCUGAAUGCAGUGUGGCUGUAGGGUUCUAGUUGGGAAUAAAGUAAGAGAAAUAGAGGAAACUUUCAUGAAGCCCUGGAGCAUUCCAUGCAUAUAGAAAUGCUUGAAGCAGCAGUAACAGUGGUGCCAGAUUACCUUGUCCCAAUACGAAGGCAGUAGUCUGACCAUGGCAACCAAAAGAAAAUAGAUUUCUAAGGUGCCAGCUGCCAUCUCUUUAAUUUUGAAGGCUACUCCAGAGAGUAGAAGAGGAAACAGUGCAGUAGAAAGAGGUGGACUCCAUGGAUUCUGAACAGAGUGGGAGAGCUUCAUACAAAAUCUGGAGGGAAGAUGCACAGCUUUCCAGUCUGCAGUGCUUUCAACUGCAUAUCUAAUUCCCUGGAGUCCUUCUGCAGCAUCCAUACUGAAUGUACUGAAAGUAAGAUGCGACUUAAGAGCGCAUACCAAGUUUUAUUGCAGGCCCAAAGCUGAUUGUAAUCCAUAAUAAUCACUUUAAAUGUAAAUCAGUUUGUUUGGGUGAAUUUUUCAAUUGUUUAGUUCCCAGUAAAACAAACAAGCAAGCCCCAUUAUUUUUAUCAUCAUGACUAGCUCUUUCCUUAGCAUGUGUGCUUUCUUUUGUUUGAACUUGUCACAGAGCAAAAUCUUCCUUAAACGAUUCUUGCUAAAUGGACGUUGUCAUGUUCUUCUCAUUGCUUUCUUCUCAUCUUCACUUGUUCUCUGGUGUUGAAUGGGAUCUAAAUUUGAUUAAGUGAACCUAUCUACAAAUCCAAAGACUGUACUGUCUGCUGUGUUCAAGGGUUGAUCGGCUUGCUGGAUGUAAUCAUGUCUCUUAAAUUUCACGUAAGAGAAGACCACCAUCUGUUCUUUCACUGGCAGGUUUACCUCUUCCUAUAACAUGCAGAAACUAACAUUUGUGUCUCAUCUGAUGUGCAAUCAAAAGGGCUGGAAAGUGGUUGGACUGAGACAAUGCACUUUGUAGCCAUCAAGUACCACAACUAGCUCUCAGAAGAACACAGCGGGCACAGAGCUUUACUGACAUCAGCAAGUGUAGAACAGGGCCUUCGCUGCUGAUAAUGACAUGUGGAAAUACACUUAGUGAUAUUAUUUUUAACUCUUCCUGAAAACUACAGAAGUCUGGGUUUCCUUAUGGGAGCUGCAGGAAGUUGAACUCCCAACAGUUUUGUGCCGUGGAUGCAAAAUCUGUAACACUGAUGUAGAGGGCCUUCAAAUAUUUUGGUGCUGUUUAAACCCACAUUUUUCCUCUCUUCUGUUAUUUACUUCAGAUUUAAUAUACAGAAGUCAGGUUCCUUUUGUUCAUGGUUAUUUCAUGGAAAAAAUAUUAUCUUGCCUAAUGAAAGCGCUCAGACUCUAAACAGCACUGUUAGAAUCCUCCUAUGAUUUCUCCCAAAUAAAUGUUCUUCC
ensembl:lncRNA